UGUUGCUUAGCGUUGGGAGCCUACAGCCUGCUGUAGCUCCUUAAAGGUAGUGGCGGAGUCGGUUCACACUCUAGACGUAGUAAAAUCUUUAUCUCGCCUAUAGAUGAGCCGGCGCCUUGCCGUAAAACCCCUAMUCUUUCACAAGGUUGACCUCGGAUCAGGUAGGAAUACCCGCUGAACUUAAGCAUAUCAAUAAGCGGAGGAAAAGAAACCAACAGGGAUUGCCCUAGUAACGGCGAGUGAAGCGGCAACAGCUCAAAUUUGAAAUCUGGCCUUCGGGUCCGAGUUGUAAUUUGCAGAGGAUGCUUUGGGCGCGGUGCCUUCCGAGUUCCCUGGAACGGGACGCCUUAGAGGGUGAGAGCCCCGUACGGUUGGACACCAAGCCUCUGUAAAGCUCCUUCGACGAGUCGAGUAGUUUGGGAAUGCUGCUCUAAAUGGGAGGUAAAUUUCUUCUAAAGCUAAAUAUUGGCCAGAGACCGAUAGCGCACAAGUAGAGUGAUCGAAAGAUGAAAAGCACUUUGAAAAGAGGGUUAAAUAGCACGUGAAAUUGUUGAAAGGGAAGCGUUUGCGACCAGACCUUUUCSCAGCGGAUCAUCCGGUGUUCUCACCGGUGCACUUCGCUGGGUUGAGGCCAGCAUCGGUUUCCGCAGGGGGAUAAAAGCCUGGGGAACGUAGCUCCCUCGGGAGUGUUAUAGCCCCUCGCAUAAUACCCUUGCGGGGACCGAGGACCGCGCU
rnacentral:rRNA from 1 species